rnacentral:rRNA from 1 species
UACGGGGGAUGCAAGCGUUAUCCGGAAUCAUUGGGCGUAAAGCGCCUGUAGGUUGUUUAAUAAGUCUGUUGUUAAAGACUAGGGCUCAACCCUAGGAAAGCAAUGGAAACUACUAGACUAGAGUAUGAUAGGGGUAGAGGGAAUUUCUAGUGUAGCGGUGAAAUGCGUAGAUAUUAGAAAGAACACCGGUGGCGAAGGCGCUCUACUGGAUCAUUACUGACACUCAGAGGCGAAAGCUAGGGUAGCAAAAGGGAUUAGAUACCCCUGUAGUCCUAGCCGUAAACGAUGGAUACUAGAUGUUGCGUUUAUUAUGCAGUAUCGUAGCUAACGCGUUAAGUAUCCCGCCUGGGGAGUACGCUCGCAAGGGUG